rnacentral:misc_RNA from 1 species
GAUGAAGAACGUAGCGAAAUGCGAUAAGUAAUGUGAAUUGCAGAAUUCAGUGAAUCAUCGAAUCUUUGAACGCACAUUGCGCCCGUCAGUAUUCUGGCGGGCAUGCCUGUUCGAGCGUCAUUACGCCCCUCAAGUCCCCUGUGGACUUGGUGUUGGGGAUCGGCGAGGCUGGUUUUCCAGCACAGCCGUCCCUUAAAUUAAUUGGCGGUCUCGCCGUGGCCCUCCUCUGCGCAGUAGUAAAACACUCGCAACAGGAGCCCGGCGCGGUCCGCUGCCGUAAAACCCCCCAACUUUUUAUAGUUGACCUCGAAUCAGGUAGGACUACCCGCUGAACUUAAGCAUAUCAAUAAGCGGAGGA